GGGGGGUGCGGGCGUGG
rnacentral:miRNA from 1 species